UAAUUUUUAUGUGGGAGUGUU
rnacentral:miRNA from 1 species